AGGAAGAUAGUUUAAUGGUAAAAUACAAGACUCCGAAUCCUGUGUUGUAGGUUCGAUUCCUACUCUUCCUG
rnacentral:tRNA from 2 species